rnacentral:rRNA from 1 species
GUGGGGAAUCUUGCGCAAUGGGCGAAAGCCUGACGCAGCCAUGCCGCGUGAAUGAUGAAGGUCUUAGGAUUGUAAAAUUCUUUCACCGGGGACGAUAAUGACGGUACCCGGAGAAGAAGCUCCGGCUAACUUCGUGCCAGCAGCCGCGGUAAUACGAAGGGGGCUAGCGUUGCUCGGAAUUACUGGGCGGAAAGGGCGCGUAGGCGGACAGCUUAGUCAGAGGUGAAAGACCAGGGCUCAACCAUGAGAUUGCAUUUGAUACUGGCUGUCUUGAGUUUGGGAGAGGUGAGUGGAACUCCGAGUGUAGAGGUGAAAUUCGUAGAUAUUCGGAAGAACACCAGUGGCGAAGGCGACUCACUGGCCCAAUACUGACGCUGAGGCGCGAAAGCGUGGGGAGCAAACAGGAUUAGAAACCCCUGUAGUCC